rnacentral:rRNA from 1 species
AUGGCCACGGCACGAGCACUCCGUCUCUUCGCCUCAGGCUCGCCAGCGACCCGGCGCGGCCUGCCCGGCGCGCACGGCCGCGCGCUGUCCGCAUUGUCAUCGCAAGCCAGCGGCGCGGGCGAUCCCGCGGUCCACUCCGGCGACCAUCCGAGCGACGACUACGCCGAGGGGCCCCCAAAGUUCUCCGGCGCGGAGGAGGCCAUCGAGGGCAAAGGCCAAGACAAGCAUCCGCCGUCGUCCGCGACGACGCGGCCGACGGAGGGGUAUGCCAAGGAGCAUCGCGUCCCGCCGUUCACCCCCUCGGGGAAGCUCGGGUCGCAGGAGCUGGCGGACCCGGCGGCCGGGUCCACGUUCACGCAGAAGCGCCGCUGGUCCUCCAAUUCCAAGCCAGCCGGCAGCGACCCGCUCGGCGACGCGACGCCCGGGGACGAGGAGGCCGCGGCGCGGAAGGUGCGGGAGGAGGACCGGGAGUACUACCGCACGCACAAGCCGUCGGCGCUGGCCGAGGUGGAGUUCGCGGACACGAGGAAGCCGGUGACGCGCGCCACGGACGGCGGCGCCGAGGACCGGCUCGAGCAGGACGUGCCGGGGACCAUGGUAGAGGACACCGCGGACGCGUCGCUGGCCCGCGCCGAGGCCAUGUUCCGCGAGGCGGCCUCGCGCGGCAACCCCGCGUGGCCGCACUCCCGCGCGCUCGCCGCCAUGCUGGCCCGGCAAGGCGGGGAGGGCGGCGAUGGCGCCGGGGACGCCGCGCCCUGGGGAAGCUAA